rnacentral:rRNA from 1 species
GACGAACGCUGGCGGCGUGCUUAACACAUGCAAGUCGAACGGUGACCCUCGGUGCUUGCUUCGGGGUGAACAGUGGCGAACGGGUGAGUAACACGUGAGUAACCUGCCCCUGACUCUGGAAUAAGCGCUGGAAACGGCGUCUAAUACCGGAUAUGACACGAACGGGCAUCCGUAUCGUGUGGAAAGUUUUUCGGUCUGGGAUGGACUCGCGGCCUAUCAGCUUGUUGGUGAGGUAAUGGCUCACCAAGGCGAUGACGGGUAGCCGGCCUGAGAGGGCGACCGGCCACACUGGGACUGAGACACGGCCCGGACUCCUACGGGAGGCAGCAGUGGGGAAUAUUGCACAAUGGGCGAAAGCCUGAUGCAGCGACGCCGCGUGAGGGAUGACGGCCUUCGGGUUGUAAACCUCUUUCAGCAGGGAAGAAGCGAAAGUGACGGUACCUGCAGAAGAAGCACCGGCUAACUACGUGCCAGCAGCCGCGGUAAAAC